UACGAAGGGGGCUAGCGUUGCUCGGAAUCACUGGGCGUAAAGGGUGCGUAGGCGGGUCUUUUAAGUCAGGGGGUGAAAUCCUGGAGCUCAACUCCAGAACUGCCUUUGAUACUGAAGAUCUUGAGUUCGGGAGAGGUGAGUGGAACUGCGAGUGUAGAGGUGAAAUUCGUAGAUAUUCGCAAGAACACCAGUGGCGAAGGCGGGUCUCUGGACAGUUCCUGACGCUCAGGCACGAAAGCCAGGGGAGCAAACGGG
rnacentral:rRNA from 1 species